rnacentral:rRNA from 1 species
ACUCCUACGGGAGGCAGCAGUGGGGAAUAUUGCGCAAUGGGGGAAACCCUGACGCAGCGACGCCGCGUGCGGGAUGAAGGCCUUCGGGUUGUAAACCGCUUUCAGCAGGGGCGAAGACGGUACCUGCAGAAGAAGCGCCGGCUAACUACGUGCCAGCAGCCGCGGUAAUACGUAGGGCGCGAGCGUUGUCCGGAAUUAUUGGGCGUAAAGAGCUCGUAGGCGGCCAGUUGCGUCCGCUGUGAAAUCCCAGGGCUCAACCCUGGGCGUGCAGUGGAUACGGGCUGGCUAGAGGCAGGCAGGGGAGAACGGAAUUCCCGGUGUAGCGGUGAAAUGCGCAGAUAUCGGGAGGAACACCGGUGGCGAAGGCGGUUCUCUGGGCCUGUUCUGACGCUGAGGAGCGAAAGCGUGGGGAGCAAACAGGAUUAGAUACCCUGGUAGUCCACGCCGUAAACGUUGGGCGCUAGGUGUGGGUCCCUUCCACGGGGUCUGUGCCGCAGCUAACGCAUUAAGCGCCCCGCCUGGGGAGUACGGCCGCAAGGCUAAAACUCAAAGAAAUUGACGGGGGCCCGCACAAGCGGCGGAGCAUGUUGCUUAAUUCGACGCAACGCGAAGAACCUUACCAAGGUUUGACAUGGACGGAAAUCCUCCAGAGAUGGGGGGUCCUUCGGGGCCGUUCACAGGUGGUGCAUGGCUGUCGUCAGCUCGUGUCGUGAGAUGUUGGGUUAAGUCCCGCAACGAGCGCAACCCUCGUCCAAUGUUGCCAGCGGGUAAUGCCGGGGACUCAUUGGAGACUGCCGGGGUCAACUCGGA